GAUGAACGCUGGCGGCGUGCCUAAUACAUGCAAGUCGAGCGGCAGCGCGGUCUUCGGACUGGCGGCGAGCGGCGGACGGCUGAGUAACACGUAGGAACGUACCCCAAACUGAGGGAUAAGCACCAGAAAUGGUGUCUAAUACCGCAUGUGCUCCACGGAGUAAAGCUACGGCGGUUUGGGAACGGCCUGCGCACGAUUAGAUAGUUGGUAGGGUAAUGGCCUACCAAGUCGACGAUCGUUAGCUGGUCUGAGAGGAUGAUCAGCCAGACUGGGACUGAGAACGGCCCAGACUCCUACGGGAGGCAGCAGUAGGGAAUUUUCCACAAUGGGCGAAAGCCUGAUGGAGCAACGCCGCGUGCAGGAUGAAUGCCUUCGGGUUGUAAACUGCUUUUAUAUGUGACGAAUAUGACGGUAGCAUAUGAAUAAGGAUCGGCUAACUCCGUGCCAGCAGCCGCGGUCAUACGGAGGAUCCAAGCGUUAUCCGGAAUUACUGGGCGUAAAGAGUUGCGUAGGUGGCACUGUGUGUCAGUAGUGAAAGCGUGUGGCUCAACCAUAUACACAUUACUGAAACUGCAGAGCUAGAGGACGAGAGAGGUAACUGGAAUUCCUUGUGUAGGAGUGAAAUCCGUAGAUAUAAGGAGGAACACCGAUGGCGUAGGCAGGUUACUGGCUCGUUUCUGACACUAAGGCACGAAAGCGUGGGGAGCAAACGGGAUUAGAUACCCCGGUAGUCCACGCCGUAAACGAUGAAUGCUAGCUGUUAUGGGUAUCGACCCCCCGUAGUAGCGAAGCUAACGCGCUAAGCAUUCCGCCUGUGGAGUACGGUCGCAAGAUUAAAACAUAAAGGAAUUGACGGGGACCCGCACCAGCGGUGGAGCGUGUUGUUUAAUUCGAUGGUAAACGAAGAACCUUACCCAGGCUCGACAUCCAUGGAAUUUUUCCGAAAGGAAAGAGUGCAUUUAGAACCAUGUGACAGGUGUUGCAUGGCCGUCGUCAGCUCGUGUCGUGAGAUGUUUGGUUAAGUCCAUCAACGAGCGCAACCCUUAUGGUCUGUUGUAUUUCUCAGGCCAGACCGCCCCGGUAACGGGGAGGAAGGAGGGGAUGAUGUCAGGUCAGUAUUACCCUUACGUCUGGGGCUACAACCACGCUACAAUGGCCGGUACAAAGGGCAGCCAAGUCGCGAGACGGAGCAAAUCCCAUCAAAGCCGGUCUCAGUUCGGAUAGCAGGCUGAAACUCGCCUGCUUGAAGCCGGAAUCGCUAGUAACGGUAGGUCAGCUAUACUACCGUGAAUACGUUCCCGGGUCU
rnacentral:rRNA from 1 species